AAAUACCCAUCCCAGUAUUGAGGUUUUCGUCAUCAAAAGUUAAGCAUCAUCAUCUACCCAAGAUUUUACUUCUCUAUUUGUGUAUUUUUUUUGGUGUUAUAAAGGAAAAAUGAACCAAUUCCAUAGCAAUAGCUUCCAAGCUGGCCAGGCUCAGGGCCAAGCUCAGGAGAAGACCCGUCAGACGGUAGACAAGGCUAGGGAAACUGCACAAUCUGCUAUGGAUUCAAUGCAACAGGCUGGGCAGCAGAUGCAGGCUAAAGCACAAGGCGCAGCAGAUGCCAUGAAGGAUACAAUGGGGAUGAACAAAUGAAACUACUCCUGCUUGAUCCCAAAUUACCACACCUCUCGGGCACCUAUCUAUCUAUAUAUAUAUAUAUAUAUGUAUGUAUGUAUGCAUUUUUAGCUUUUGAUUUUUGUUCUGGCAAAAUUUUCUUCAUUUUGCUCAUAUAAAUUGAGCCAAGAAGAAAGAUUUACCCUAGAAUUUUCAGUUUUAAUGAAUUUUGGGUUGUAAUAAGGGUGCCUGUUGCUUAGAAGUGUGGAAAAGUUUCCGUUUCCUUAGCUAUUGUCCUCUAGAAAUAUAAUAAAAUACAAAUUAAUUGCUAGGAAAA